UACGGAGGGGGCUGGCGUUGUUCGGAAUUACUGGGCGUAAAGCGCGCGUAGGCGGCUUUGUAAGUUAGAGGUGAAAGCCCGGAGCUCAACUCCGGAAUUGCCUUUAAGACUGCAUCGCUAGAAUCAUGGAGAGGUUAGUGGAAUUCCGAGUGUAGAGGUGAAAUUCGUAGAUAUUCGGAAGAACACCAGUGGCGAAGGCGACUAACUGGACAUGUAUUGACGCUGAGGUGCGAAAGCGUGGGGAGCAAACAGG
rnacentral:rRNA from 1 species